GAUGAAGAACGCAGUAAAAUGCGAUAAGUAAUGUGAAUUGCAGAAUUCAGUGAAUCAUCGAAUCUUUGAACGCACAUUGCGCCCGCUGGUAUUCCGGCGGGCAUGCCUGUUCGAGCGUCAUUUCAACCCUCAAGCCCCCGGGUUUGGUGUUGGGGAUCGGCUCUGCCCUUCUGGGCGGUGCCGCCCCCGAAAUACAUUGGCGGUCUCGCUGCAGCCUCCAUUGCGUAGUAGCUAACACCUCGCAACUGGAACGCGGCGCGGUCAUGCCGUAAAACCCCAACUUCUGAAUGUUGACCUCGGAUCAGGUAGGAAUACCCGCUGAACUUAAGCAUAUCAAUAAGCGGAGGA
rnacentral:misc_RNA from 1 species